rnacentral:ncRNA from 1 species
CCCUUGUAGUUUUGAUGUUCUAACGUUGGCCCCUAAUCGGGGUUGCGGACAGUGCCUGGUGGGUAGUUUGACUGGGGCGGUCUCCUCCCAAAGAGUAACGGAGGAGCACGAAGGUGGGCUAAUCACGGUUGGACAUCGUGAGGUUAGUGCAAUGGCAUAAGCCCGCUUAACUGCGAGAAUGACGGUUCGAGCAGGUGCGAAAGCAGGUCAUAGUGAUCCGGUGGUUCUGAAUGGAAGGGCCAUCGCUCAACGGAUAAAAGGUACUCCGGGGAUAACAGGCUGAUACCGCCCAAGAGUUCAUAUCGACGGCGGUGUUUGGCACCUCGAUGUCGGCUCAUCACAUCCUGGGGCUGAAGUCGGUCCCAAGGGUAUGGCUGUUCGCCAUUUAAAGUGGUACGCGAGCUGGGUUUAGAACGUCGUGAGACAGUUCGGUCCCUAUCUGCCGUGGGCGUUGGAGAAUUGAAGGGGGCUGCUCCUAGUACGAGAGGACCGGAGUGGACGAACCUCUGGUGUUCGGGUUGUCACGCCAGUGGCAUUGCCCGGUAGCUAAGUUCGGAAUUGAUAAGCGCUGAAAGCAUCUAAGCGCGAAGCGAGCCCUGAGAUGAGUUCUCCCUGGCACUAUAAGUGUCCUAAAGGGUUGUUCGAGACUAGAACGUUGAUAGGCAGGGUGUGUAAGCGCUGUGAGGCGUUGAGCUAACCUGUACUAAUUGCCCGUGAGGCUUAACCAU